GCCUUCGUGGUGCAGUGGUCAGCACGCUGGGUGCGUAUUCCAGAGUUCCGUGGUUCGAGUCCCGGCGAAGGCA
rfam:Stegodyphus mimosarum contig105408, whole genome shotgun sequence.